rnacentral:lncRNA from 1 species
GCAUUUCUGGCUUGUCCUCCACAGCCUCCACAUUCAUGGCCAGAAAGUCAAAGUCAUCUUCAGGGUUGCUGGGAUUUUCAGCGAGUGGUGUCCAGCAUGUUGGCGUGACUGCCUAGGAGAUAUAGGGUCACUUCUGCUCUGCAUUUGGGAAGGGGCUUACCCAUGUCUUUGAAACUGUGCACACACUCAAAAAGAGAUAAUAAAGCACAAGGUGGCAAAAAGAAUGAACAUAAAUUCCUUAUACAACUCAAUGACAACCUCGCUCACCCUGGAAGGAGCUUGGAUUUGCAGCUGUAACAGCUCCCUCUUGUGACUGUAUAUGUGAACUCCUUUACAUAGAACUAGGAACCAAGUCAGUUAGCAAUCUUUCAGGGUUUGUGUUUCAGGUCUAAAGAUAGAUUAUUUUGGAUGUGCUACCUCCCUCUAGUGACAAGGCUCAGCAAAGAGCUUCCUACCAUAAUUCUCUAAGAAAGAUCAAAUUAUUUUCAGUCACUUUGGGGUUUUAGAAUUAUUUCCUAAAAUUCAUAAGGAAACAAAAAAGAGCCCACAUUGCCAAAGCAAGACUAACCAAAAAAGAACAAAUCUGGAAGCAUCACAUUACCCAACUUCAGGCUAUGCUCUAAUGCCAUAGUCACCAAAACAGCAUGGUACUAGUAUAAAAAUAGGCACCUAGACCAAUGGAACAGAAUAGAGAAGCCAGAAAUGAAGCCAAAUUCUUACAGCCAACUGAUCUUUGACAAACCAAACAAAAACAUAAUGUGGGGAAGGGACACCCUAUUCAAUAAAUGGUUGUGGGAUAAUUGGCUAGCCACAUGUAGAAGAAUUAAACUGGAUCCUCAUCUCUCACCUUAUGCAAAAAUCAACUCAAGAUGAAUCAAGGACUUAAAUCUAAGACCUAAAACCAUAAAAAUUCUAGAAGAUACCAUCAGAAAAACCCUUCUAGACACUGGCUUAGGCAAAGACUUCAUGACCAAGAACCCAAACGCAAAUGUAACAAGAACAAAGAUAUAUAGAUGGGACCUAAUUAAACUAAAAAGCUUCUGCACAGCAAAAGAAACAAUCAGCAGAGUUGACAGACAACCCACAGAGUGGGAGAAAAUCUUCACAAUCUAUACAUCUGACAAAGGACUAAUAUCGAGAAUCUAACUCAAUGACUCAAAUCAGCAAGAAAAAACAAACAAUCCCAUCAAAAAGUGAGCUAAGGACAUGACUAGACAAUUCUCAGAAAAGAUAUACCAAUGGCCCACAAGCAUCUGGAAAUGCUCAACCUCAUUAUUUAUCAGGGAAAUGCAAAUCAAAACCACAAUGUGAUACCACCUCACUCCUGCAAUAAUGGUCAUAAUAAAAAAAUUUAAAAAAAUACCCAUUGGUUUGGAUGCAGUGAAAAGGGAACACUUUUACACUGUUGAUGGGAAUGUAAUCUAGUACAACCACUAUGAAAAACAGUGUGGAGAUUCCUUAAAGAACUAAAAGUAGAUCUACUGUUUGAUCCAGCAAUCCCACUACUAGGUAUUUACCCAGAGGAAAAGAAGUCAUUGUACAAAAAAGAUACUUGCACAUGCAUGUUUAUAGCAGCACAACUUGCAAUUGCAAAAAUAUGGAACCAGCCCAAAUGCCCAUCAAUCAAUGACAGAAUAAAGAAAAUGUGGUAUAUAUAUACCAUGGAAUACAACCCAGCCAUAAAAAAGAACAAAAUAAUGGCAUUUGCAGCAACGUAGAUGGAAAUGGAGAUUAUUAUUCUAAGUGAAGUGUAUUCAUCUGUUUUCACGGUGCUGAUAAAGACACACCCGAGACUGGGCAAUUUACAAAGAAAGAGGUUUAAUUGGACUUAUAGUUCCAUAUGGCUGGGAAAGCCUCUCAAUCAUGGCGUAAGGCAAGAAAGAGCAAGUCAUGUCUUACAUGGAUAGUGGCAAGCAAAAAAUGAGAGAGAGCUUGUGCAGGGGAAUGCCUCUUUUUAAAACCAUCAGAUCUUGUGAGACUUAUUCACUAUCAUGAGAACAGCAUGGGAAAGACUUGCCCGCAUUAUUCAAUUACCUCCCACUGGGUCCCUCCCACAACACAUAGGAAUUCAAGAUGAGAUUUGGGUGGGGACACAGCCAAACCAUAUACUUCCACCCCGACCCUUCCCAAAUAUCACUUCCUUGCAUUUCAAAACUAAUCAUACCUUCCCAACAGUCCCCCAAAGUCUUAACUUAUUUCAGCAUUAACUCAAAAGUCCACAGUCUAAAGUCUCAUCCGAGACAAGGCAAGUCCCUUCCACCUAUGAGCCUGUAAAAUCAAAAGCAGGUUUGUUACUUCCUAGAUACAGUGAGGGUACAGACAUUGGGUAAAUACAGCCAUUCCAAAUGGGAGAAAUUGGCCAAAACAAAGGGGCUAUAGACCCCAUGCGAGUCCAAAAUCCAGCGGUGCAGUCAAAUCAUAAAGCUCCAAAAUGAUCUCGCUUGACUCCAUGUCUCACAUCCAAGUCACACUGAUGUAAGAGGUGGGCUCCCAUGGUCUUAGGCAGCUCCACCCCUGUGGCUUUGCAGGGUACAGCCUCCCUACUGGCUGCUUUCAUAGGCUGGCAUUGAGUAUCUGUAGCUUUUCUAAGUGUGUGGUGUAAACUGUCAGUGGAUGUACCAUUCUGGGGUCUGGAGGAUGUUGGCCCUCUUCUAACUGCUCCACUAGGCAGUGCUCCAGUAGAAGCUCUGUGUGGGGGUCCAAUCCCACAUUUCCCUUCAACACUGCCCUAGCAGAAGUUCUCCACGAGAGCCCUGCCCCUGCAGCAAACUUCUGCCUGGACAUCCAGGCGUUUCCAUACAUCUUCUGAAAUCUAGGUGGAGGUUCCCAAACCUCAAUUCUUGACUUCUGUGCACUUGCAGGCUCACCACCAAGUGGAAGCUGCCAAGGCUUGAGGCUUGCACCCUCUGAAGCCAUGGCCUGAGCUCUAUGUUGGCCCCUUUCAGCCAUGGCUGGAGCAGCCAGAAUGCAGAGCACCAAGUUCCUAAGCUGCACACAGCAUGAGGACCCUGGGCCCAGCCCAUGAAACCACGUUUUCCUCUGAGGCCUUCAGGCCUGUGAUGGGAGGGGCUGCUGUGAAGACCUCUGGCAUAACCUGGAGACGUUUUCCCCAUUUGUCUUGAGGAUUAACAUUUGGAUCUUCAUUAUGGCUUGAAUUUCUCCUCAGAAAAUGGGAUUUCCUUUUCUAUUGCAUUGUCAGGCUGCAAAUUUUCCAAACUUUUAUGCUCUGCUUCCCUUAUAAAACUGAAUGCUUUUAACAGCACCCAGGUCACCUCUUGAAUGCUUUGGUGCUUAGGAAUUUCUUCUGCCAGAUACUGUAAAUCAUCUCUCUCAAGUUCAAUGUUCCACAAAUCUCCAGGGCAGGGGCAAAAUGCCAACAGUCUCUUUGCUAAAACAUGACAAAGUCACCUUUGCUCUAGUUCCAAGCAAGUUCCUUAUCUCCACCUGAGACCACCUUAUCCUGGAAGAUGAUAUUGUUUACAUCACUAUCAGCAUGUUUGUCAAAGCCAUUUAACAAGUCUCUAGGAAGCUCCAAACUUUCCCACAUUUUCCUGUCUUCUUCUGAGCCCUCCAAACUGUUCCAGCCUGCACCUGUUACCCAGUUCCAAGGUCACUUCCACAUUUUCAAGCAUCUUUUCUUCAAUGCUCCACUCUGCUGGUACCAAUAUGCUAUGUUAGCCCAUUUUCAUGCUGCUGAUAAAGACAUACCAGAGACUGGGCAAUUUACAAAAGAAAGAGGUUUAAUUGGACUUACAGUUUCACCUGGCUGGGGAAGUCUCACAAUCAUGGCAGAAGGCAAGGAAGAGCAAGUCACAUCUUGCAUGGAUGGUGGCAGGCAAAAAAUGAGACAGCUUGUGCAGGGGAACACCUUUUAAAACCAUCAGAUCUUAUGAGACUUAUUUACUAUCAUGAGAACAGCAUGGGAAAGCCCUGCCCGCAUCAUUCAAUUACCUCCCACCAGGUCUCUCCCACAAGACAUGGAAAUUCAAAAUGAGAAUUUGAUGGGGACACAGCCAAACCAUAUCAUGAAGUAGCUCAGGAAUGGAAAACCAAGCAUCGUACAUUCUCACUCAUAUGUGGGAGCUAAACUCUAAGACACAAAGGCAUGAGAAUGGUACAUUGGACUUUGAGGACUCGGGGGAAGGUGUGGGAGUGGUGAAGGAUAAAAGACAACACAUUGGGUACAGUGAACACUGCUUGGGUGAUGGGUGCACCAAAAUCUCAGAAAUCACCACUAAAGAACUUAUUCAUGUAACCAAACAGCACCUGUUCCCCAAAAACCUAUUUAAAAUUUUUUUAAUAAAAUAAAAU